GCGACAGCUUGUCCAACCAAUGCUGGCCGGCAGGAGAAGAUUGCGCGAAAUGAAGCUGUAGGCAGUUUCUGACUUGCUUCGCUCGUAACAAGGACCUUGAUGCAGAAAGAUCAGCUACUUACCUUUUCUAUUCGAUCUACUCAAUCCUAGCAAGCUAAAUGCUGGUCCAGAUAUGCUUUGAAUGAGAUCACCUCAAUAUCACCUACCAAACGCCGAGCCCCAUCGUCAAGGACAGCUGGUGCACAGGAACACCUCCACCUGAACACCAUCAUGUCUUGGAAGUACGGUUUCGUUAUCGGCAUUGGGAGUCCCUCCUCGAACUUUUGCCCUACAUGCACAAUCGGAGCACAUUCACCAGAAACACUGUAGCAGUUUACAAAAGAAGCACAGUAUCACCUUCUCAAGGUGAGUUGGGAUGGGCAACAAAUGCUGGCUUUUCCAGUAAUGCUUAAAUCCUGAAAAAUGAAAAAAAUUAAAAUAUAUACAUUUUCAGGCAGGUUAAGAAUGUUAAAAAUCUGCCUUAUUCCUGAAUUAUGCCAGUAUUCACACACAUAUCUAGCCAGUAUCAUUGGAACUUGACUGGAAGUCCAUCUGAUUUAAUUACCCUUUUGUCUAUGGACAUUGAGUGAGCUAUCCUCAUCCUAAUGCCAAACCAGCUGAGAUCUGAUAGGUAAUUAAAUCUGAGGCCUUCUCAUCUGUAAUGCUCAGUAACAUGUUUGCAUUACCGAAUGAUACGUAGUUAAGUACAUUUGGGUCAACAGAAUGAUAUUCUGUGGUUGGAUGCUUCCUUUUAGAACUGCUAUUGACAAGAUGUCAGAGGCUUGAAGGUCAGUGAAAGAGAUCUUCUUCCUUAAUUUCACUAUUCUGUACUACACAAUAAUGACAGCAUAUUGCUCCACCAGUUCGUUGCAGACUGCUAAAUCUAAUGAACUUGAAAUUCAAAUAAUGAUAAGGGAAAUGACUCCAUUCCACCCCCACUAACUUACACAUGAACAAAUAAUCUGUAAUUUCUGUGCAAAUGUCUUAGUAUAUAUAUCUUGCAGAAUAUCUAGUAAUUUUAUGUUUUACACUGCACCACUGCCGCAAAAAAAUCAUGGCAUAUGUGAGUGAUGAUAAACCUGAUUCUCUUAUGGGCUAU